rnacentral:rRNA from 1 species
AGCGAACGCUGGCGGCAGGCCUAACACAUGCAAGUCGAACGAACCUUUCGGGGUUAGUGGCGGACGGGUGAGUAACACGUGGGAACGUGCCUUUAGGUUCGGAAUAACUCAGGGAAACUUGUGCUAAUACCGAAUGUGCCCUUCGGGGGAAAGAUUAAUCGCCUUUAGAGCGGCCCGCGUCUGAUUAGCUAGUUGGUUGAGGUAAUGGCUCACCAAGGCGACGAUCAGUAGCUGGUCUGAGAGGAUGAUCAGCCACAUUGGGACUGAGACACGGCCCAAAAUCCUACGGGAGGCAGCAGUGGGGAAUCUUGCGCAAUGGGCGAAAGCCUGACGCAGCCAUGCCGCGUGAAUGAUGAAGGUCUUAGGAUUGUAAAAUUCUUUCACCGGGGACGAUAAUGACGGUACCCGGAGAAGAAGCCCCGGCUAACUUCGUG